AAGAAUAGCUAGGGGUGCCUGUAAGGCUGAGAGGAUGAUGUUCAUCCAACCCUUGAACCUGAUUUGGUUAGUACCAGCGGAGGGAAGCUAUAUUUGUGUAUG
rnacentral:ncRNA from 2 species